GUCGGUGACUUAGCGCCAUGGAACCACCCGUUUCCAUUCCGAAUACGGAAGUGAAACAUGGUAGCGGCGAUGAUACUUUUAAGGGAAAGUAGCUAGUCGCCGACU
rnacentral:rRNA from 1 species